CAUGUAGGCGGCUUAAUAAGUCGAGCGUGAAAAUGCGGGGCUCAACCCCGUAUGGCGCUGGAAACUGUUAGGCUUGAGUGCAGGAGAGGAAAGGGGAAUUCCCAGUGUAGCGGUGAAAUGCGUAGAUAUUGGGAGGAACACCAGUGGCGAAGGCGCCUUCUGGCUGUGUCUGACGCUGAGAUGCGAAAGCCAGGGUAGCGAACG
rnacentral:rRNA from 1 species